rnacentral:rRNA from 1 species
GACGAACCGUGCGAGCGUUGUUCGGAAUCACUGGGCUUAAAGGGCGCGUAGGCGGGCUCACAAGUCAGGGGUGAAAUCCCACGGCUCAACCGUGGAAGUGCCUUUGAUACUGUGGGUCUUGAGGGAGGUAGGGGCGUGCGGAACUUCCGGUGGAGCGGUGAAAUGCGUAGAUAUCGGAAGGAACACCGGUGGCGAAAGCGGCGCGCUGGACCUCUACUGACGCUGAGGCGCGAAAGCCAGGGGAGUAAACGGG